rnacentral:rRNA from 1 species
AUGUCCAUCAUGAACUCCUUCAUCAACGACAUCUUCGAGAAGCUCGUCGGCGAGUCCGCCAAGCUCGCGCGCUACAACAAGAAGCCCACCAUCACCUCUAGGGAGAUUCAAACCUCUGUCCGCCUCGUCCUCCCCGGCGAGCUCGCCAAGCACGCCGUGUCUGAGGGCACCAAGGCUGUCACCAAGUUCACCUCGUCCUAG